UACGGAGGGGGCUAGCGUUGUUCGGAAUUACUGGGCGUAAAGCGUGCGCAGGCGGUUUUGUAAGUCAGAUGUGAAAUCCCCGGGCUUAACCUGGGAACUGCGUUUGAAACUACAAGGCUAGAGUGUGGCAGAGGGGGGUGGAAUUCCACGUGUAGCAGUGAAAUGCGUAGAGAUGUGGAGGAACACCGAUGGCGAAGGCAGCCCCCUGGGUUAACACUGACGCUCAGGCACGAAAGCGUGGGGAGCAAACAGG
rnacentral:rRNA from 1 species